UACGAAGGGUGCAAGCGUUGUUCGGAUUCAUUGGGCGUAAAGGGUGCGUAGGCGGCUUUCUAAGUCUGAUGUGAAAUCCUGGGGCUCAACCCCAGAACUGCAUUGGAUACUGGAAGGCUAGAGUACUGGAGAGGAAACUGGAAUUUACGGUGUAGCAGUGAAAUGCGUAGAGAUCUGGAGGAACACCGGUGGCGAAGGCGGCCCCCUGGUUCGAUACUGACGCUGAGGUGCGAAAGCGUGGGGAGCAAACAGG
rnacentral:rRNA from 1 species